UGGCGACGGGUGAGUAACGCGUGGAAAACCUGCCGUAUACUGGGGGAUAACACUUAGAAAUAGGUGCUAAUACCGCAUAAGCGCACAGCUUCGCAUGAAGCGGUGUGAAAAACUCUGGUGGUAUACGAUGGUUCCGCGUCUGAUUAGCUAGUUGGUGGGGUAAUGGCCUACCAAGGCAACGAUCAGUAGCCGGCCUGAGAGGGUGAACGGCCACAUUGGGACUGAGACACGGCCCAAACUCCUACGGAAGGCAGCAG
rnacentral:rRNA from 1 species